rnacentral:lncRNA from 1 species
UGCCUUCUUUUCUUAUCCUUUAUCUCUCUUUCAUUAUCAUGAUCUUUUCCUUUCAGUGACACUUAUGGAGUCAUGAGUUACUCUCACUAAGCUAAAAAUAAAAAUUGAUUUUCAUUAGUAUGUCCUCUCGGUGUCAGGGAGUUAUCAUAUGAUCCUUAAACAUAGUUACCUUUUCCUCACAUUGGAUGUAUGUCUUAUUACACUGUUAUCAUAAAGGAUAAAGGCCAUAUUUAUCUUGCUUCACACUGCAUGGCCAGCAUGUAGCACAGUUCUUGGUUUAUGGUAAGUGCUCACUAAACGUUUGUUGAAUAAAGGAAUUAAUUAAUUAAGCUUUUCCACAGACAUGCACACAGGCGGCCAGACGAAAAAAAGUCCACAAACACAAAAGUAUAAAGACAAAUACGUGACACACACACGUAUGUAUGUGUAACGCUUUAACAGCCUCCAUUUCUCCCUCUCAUACUAUCUCUCAUCCUGGAACCUUGUCAACAUAAUUCAUCUCUUCUAGGAUAUUAAUUCACCUACACGGAGUGAGGGAUGAUAGCAUAACCCACUGGAAUAUGUACAUUUCUACUAGAGUAGUUCAGGUAUAAAAUGGCUUGAUUGUCAUUCUUAAGGUAGGCAUGUUUCUUCAUAUUAACUUUAGACAUUUUUGUUUUUAUUUAGAUCGAAGUCAGAAAGUAGUCCCCAAACAAAUCGCAGCAGUAACUAACAAUUCCUUCAGAAGGCAAUGGAUAUCACUCGGGGUCUCACUGAAAAAUGAAAAUUCGACCUUUUCUUCUCUGGUCACAGCUGAUGGAAAACAAUAAACCAAGAUGGACCAAUUUGCAGGAGUGUCUGUUUUUAUUUCCUCUCCCACUCCGAGGCAUAAUUUUGCCAUGUCAGGGCCUUUGACUGAAGACAGUCAAUCUGAACUCCCAUGACUCCCUGAGCUCUUCUCCACAGCUUUCCCCACCACCCACUUGGGUUUAUUGCCUAGGCCCCUAGUGGCUGGGGAUAUGCAUCAACUGCUGUUACUCAGGGAAGGAUCUGUGUGUGGACUGUGUUCCUCCUCCUGGUCCUUCUCACUGGACUUGGCUGACUGCAUGCAGAUCUCAGUUAAUACAGCUAUUUGCCCCCCUCCCUCCCCACAACUGCAGAACCAGGGCUAAGGUAAACUGUGCUUGCUCAGGCCUCACAUUCUGCUUGCCACCUUUCUCGUGCCCCUCGGUUGAGUGACCCACAGGAUGAAUCCCGGAAGACAGAAGGACCCAGAGAGCUUGGGAUUUGGUCUCAGGAGCAAAGAUUAAUACCUUAUCAGAGUUUGAUACGAAGAUUGAUAAAUUGAGUUAGGAAAAAUAUCUCUCAUUUUCCUUUUUCUGAAACUAUGUAUUAAAUUGUUCAGUUUUUCAAUAAAUAUUUGGCAAAAUUC